rnacentral:rRNA from 1 species
GUUCUGGGCCGCACGCGCGCUACACUGACGGAGCCAGCAAGUAUAUCCUUGGUCGAGAGGCCCGGGUAAUCUCGUGAAACUCCGUCGUGCUGGGGAUAGAGCAUUGUAAUUUUUGCUCUUCAACGAGGAAUUCCUAGUAAGCGCAAGUCAUCAGCUUGCGUUGAUUACGUCCCUGCCCUUUGUACACACCGCCCGUCGCUACUACCGAUUGAAUGGCUUAGUGAGGCUUCAAGAUUGGCGCCGCGAUAGGGGCAACUCUGCCAUGGCGCUGAAAAUUUAGUCAAACUUGGUCAUUUAGAGGUCGUAAAAGUCGUAACAAGGUUUCCGUAGGUGAACCUGCGGAAGGAUCAUUACUGUGAUUUAACAUCUUCCACACGUGCGUGAGCGCAAGCAAAACACGAAAAAACUGUAGUACGAGAGUCAAAACAAACCAAAAAACAAAACUUUCAACAACGGAUCUCUUGGUUCUCGCAUCGAUGAAGAGCGCAGCGAAAUGCGAUACCUAGUGUGAAUUGCAGCCAUCGUGAAUCAUCGAGUUCUUGAACGCACAUUGCGCCCUCUGGUAUUCCGGAAGGCAUGCCUGUUUGAACGUCGUUUCCUUCUUGCUUGCGAGCAAAAAUGGGGGGGCCCUGGCAUUGGGGCCGCUCUGAAAAAAAACGUUGCGGGCGAAGCGAACUUUGAUUAGGACCCUUGGCCCCCCAACUUUAAUACAUAAGCUCGACCUCAAAUCAGGGAGGGAAUACCCCGCUGAACUUAAGCAUUUUCAAUAAGCCGGGGGGGAAAAAAAAACCCCACCGGGGGAUUGGCCCCCAAUAAACCGGCCAAAAUGGAAA